rnacentral:rRNA from 1 species
UACGUAGGAUGCGAGCGUUAAUCGGAAUUACUGGGCGUAAAGCGUGCGCAGGCGGUUUGUUAAGACAGAUGUGAAAUCCCCGGGCUUAACCUGGGAACUGCAUUUGUGACUGCCCGGCUAGAGUGUGUCAGAGGGGGGUAGAAUUCCACGUGUAGCAGUGAAAUGCGUAGAUAUGUGGAGGAAUACCGAUGGCGAAGGCAGCCCCCUGGGAUAACACUGACGCUCAUGCACGAAAGCGUGGGGAGCAAACAGG